UCUUUCAUGUUUAGAAAUAUCAAAAGAAAUAUGUGAAAUAAGUAUGAAAAUACAUCAACACAGCCCGAAUCUGGUGUCACUAGUCAUGAGCCACUAAGUACACUCAACACUGUCUGCUUAAUACAAAAUAAUUCUGAAAUACAAAGUACUAGAAUAGGAAGGAGAAAGGCAGGACUGCGAACGCCGUGUAGCUAUCUUGCAAUCUUCGAAUAAAACUCUAAAGGUGCUAAAAGCUCUCACUCUGAUGCUCGGGCACCUGGAUCUGCACACAAGGUGCAGGAAGUAACGUGAGUACACCAACUCAUUAAGUAAAUAAAGUAUGAGUGUAGUGACGAGCAUUAAAAAUCAUAUGCAUACUUUAUUAAGAAUCUCAACAGAAAUAUCAAAGUCAAAAUCUGCAGUUAAAUAACCAAAUACCGCGUAAAAACUCAAGUUUCAAUGAAAAUCCUUUAAAACAUUUAUCAACAUUUUCAAUAGAGGACCAGUAUAAAAGAAGAGUGAAAACAGGAAAUUUCACAAACAAGACCCUCGGGCAAAGUAUCACUUAUAAGUAUAGCCUCUCGGGCAAUCCUCUCAGUCACUCGUGACUCAACUCUCGUCAAUCAAUACUCACAUUCAUCGCUCCAGCUAAAUAGAUAUCUCAUAAUGAUAACCGAUGCGGCGUGCAACCCGAUCCAUAAUAUAUAGUCGACUACGCUCACUAGGGGUGUACAGACUCUGGAGGUGCUCCUACAACCCAAGUGCUAUAUCGUUGCGGUGCGCAACCUAAUCCAAUAUAUCGCUGCGGCGUGCAACUCGAUCCAUAUAUAAUAAUAUCGCUGCAGAGUGUAGCCUGAUAUAUAUAUAUAUAUAGCCUCGACCUCUCUUUGUCAUUAACCCCACAGCCACUCGGGCAUUCCAGUGAAAAUCAGGGAAGUUCAGCCCAAACUGUUUUCAUAUAUUUGAAAAUAGAGUAAUGAAACUGAAUCAACAGUAAACAGGUAAUAUCAUGAUUGAGGAUAUGCUUUCAAAUCAAAUAGUGUGAGGAAAAUAGUAAAAUACCCCUAAGGGUCUAAAUAGUUCGGCACAAAGGCCCCAAACAUGACAUUCAGCCCAAGUUAACAGAUUCAUUUCUUAAACACAUGGAUAUCAUAUGCAGUAUACCAAAAUAUGCAACUAUAUAAUCACCACGGGACGGACCAAGUCACAAUCCCUACGGGUGCACGCCCACACGCCCAUCACCUAGCAUGUGUGUCACCUCAUUUAUCAAAACAGUACGAAAUUCUGGGGUUUCAUACCCUCAAGUCUAAAUUUACAAUCGUUACUUACCUCAAACCGGAUGAAAUCCUACUCCGUGAUGCCCUUGCCUCUCGACUCGGCCUCAACUCGCGUCGAAUCUAUCCAAUCAGAAUCAUAACAUCAAUAUAUACCAAGGGAAUGAAGCCCAUGCGAAAAUAAUCAAAUUACAUCUAGAAUCCCGAAAUUGGUCAAACCCGACUCCCGAGCCCAUGUCUCGAAAUCCGAUAAUAAUCAUAUCAAUAGAAUCAUCAUUCACCCACGAGUCUAUUCAUACCAAAAGCAUCAAAAUCGGACCCAAAUGGCCCCUCUAAUCCCCACUCAAAGCUCUCCAAUUUCAAGCCCUAAUCCCCAAUUUCUUCCUUAAUUUCCACUAAUACCAUGAUUAAACAAUGAAAAAAUGAUCUUAAACACAAGUAAUGAAGCUUAAGUGGCUUACCGAAUUGAUAACCUUCAAUUUCCCUUUAAACAUCAUUGCCCUAGCUCACUUCCCGUCAUAAAAAAUGGAGAACCAUAGCAAAAUUUGCGAAGAGGACAUUUUUAUACCUUCUGCCCAACGAUCUCGCACCUGCGGUCCAUUUCCUGCAUCUGCAACAAAAUAGGCGCACAUGCGAUUUUUCACUUAGGGGCCAAACAUCCGCACCUGUGCCCCAGGUUUCGC
rnacentral:lncRNA from 1 species